GGUCAGAGAAACUCCCACAGAAGUAAUUGUAUUCUUAUAUACACAGUUUAUACGUAUUUUUACAUACAUUUCAGAUUUAUAUUGUAUAUUUGCAUACACACAAAUUGACAUACAUGUUUUAAAAGCUUUUCUUUAUAUUGCACUUGUUUUAUACUGCUUUAUAUUGAAAUUAGUUCAGUUAAGUUGAGUUGAGUUGAGCCAGGUAAGUUUUUCAGUUCCUUUCAAG
rnacentral:lncRNA from 1 species